rnacentral:rRNA from 1 species
UACGAAGGGGCUAGCGUUGCUCGGAAUCACUGGCGUAAGGUGCGUAGGCGGUCUUAAGUCAGGGUGAAUCCUGGAGCUCAACUCCAGAACUGCUUGAUACUGAGGAUCUGAGUCCGGGAGAGGUGAGUGGAACUCCGAGUGUAGAGGUGAAUUCGUAGAUAUUCGGAAGAACACCAGUGGCGAAGGCGGCUCACUGGCCCGGUACUGACGCUGAGUGCGAAAGCGUGGGAGCAACAGG